ensembl:snRNA U2 U2 spliceosomal RNA
AUCGUUUCUCGACCUUUUGGCUAAGAUCAAAUGCAGUAUCUGUUCUUAACAGUUUAAUAUCUGAUACGUCCUCUAUCCGAGGACAAUAUAUUAAAUGGGUUUUUGGAGCAAGGAGUUGGAACAGGAGCUUGCUCUGUCCACUCCAUGCAUCGACCCAGUAUUGUGGUACCUCCAGGCAUGGUGCACCAAUA